CCUACGGGUGGCAGCAGUGGGGAAUAUUGGGCAAUGGGCGCAAGCCUGACCCAGCAACGCCGCGUGAAGGAAGAAGGCCCUCGGGUUGUAAACUUCUUUUGUCGGGGACGAAGAAAGUGGCGGUACCUGACGAAUAAGCCACGGCUAACUACGUGCCAGCAGCCGCGUUAAUACGUAGGUGGCAAGCGUUAUCCGGAGGUACUGGGUGUAAAGGGCGUGUAGGCGGGAUUGCAAGUCAGAUGUGAAAUUCCCGGGCUCAACCCUGGACCUGCAUUUGAAACGGGCGUUCUUGAGUGAUGGAGAGGCAGGCGGAAUUCCGGGUGUAGCGGUGAAAUGCGUAGAUAUACGGAGGAACACCAGUGGCGAAGGCGGCCUGCUGGACAUUAACUGACGCUGAGGCGCGAAAGCGUGGGGAGCAAACAGGAUUAGAUACCCGGGUAGUC
rnacentral:rRNA from 1 species